ACAUGUAUUUUAAAUUUAUGUAAAUGGCUUUGUACUAUGGCUCACUAUUUCUUUUUUAUGAAGUACUGUGGUUCUAAGACCUAGCCAUGGUGCCGGAUUGAGUUUGUUGCUUCUAACUGAUACAAACUCUUCCAUUAGGUGCAUCCCCCACAUUUUACCUAUUCAAUCCCUCAUUGACGGGUGAAUAGAUUGCUUCCAAUUCACCACUUCUUAAAGAAAAAACAUGCAACGAGCACUCUUGCACAUGUCUCUUUGGACAAGUGUGAGAAUAUCCCUUGGAUGCAGGCUCAGGAGGAAAAUAAUUGGGUAAUAAGGCACAUGUAAUCUUAAUUUUACUUAGUACUGCCAGGCUGGGGUCCAGAAUGGUUGCACCAGUCUGUUCUGCCACUGGUACUGUAUGAGAGUCCUUAUACUCCUAUAUCCCCAACAACACUGAGCAAUAAUGAGCUUUCUAAUUUUUGCCAGUAUGAAGAGUGAAAAGUGAUGUAGCUCAAUAUCAAUGAUACAGUAACACAGUGGAAAUGCGCAGACGGAGGCUGUGUGCUCAUUGGCUCAGACCUCUCCUUCAGGCCUCACACCUCCUCAGUUGUUAAAUUCUGUCAAUUUAUUGCUGCAUAUCUCCCAAACUCAUUCCCUCUUUUUCUUUGUCAUGAUCUGGGAAAAAAUUUUUCCCUUUCACUGUAGCAAUUGCUUCCUAAUUUGUUUCUUUCUGUCCAGCUUCCACCCUAUCAAUACAUUCUAUAUGCGCUACCAAACUAAUAUUCAGAAGCGUGGCCUUUUGAGACGAGAAUGAGGGUGUUAUGAAUGAAUAAUGGUGAGGAUUGUUAACCUAAAACUCUGAUUCAGGGGUUAACAAAGAUUUUCCUUCUAGCAAGGAUCUCUAAACGCACUGAAAUGUCAAUCAAUUAAAGAUAUUAUUCCUAUAUAACUCUCCGUAGGGGAAUUUCUACAAGGUGAUUAUCACUUCCAGAUAGAGAGAAAACUGGAAAUCAUUAAAGAGUUUAGAAUAUCUGAGUUCGGAAUCCAUUCUUUUGAGUCAAAGAAGUCGAUAAAACCUUCUCAUCGUUACCAGAUGCCUCCUUCCUUUUGUGUUUCUAAACCUGGCUUCAUCACAUUAGUUAGGAUUCUUUAAUUACAAUUUAUGAAAACCAAUUCAAACUAAUUAAGCUGUAAAAGAACUAGGAAAUGGAAGGGAGGGUGUAAAUUAUUAUAAAAAUGCGGAUGUGUCUCACAGGACCCAAGGGGGAAGUGCAGUCAGACCUCAGGAGGGAAUUUGAAAGCUGUAAGUAUAAACUCUGCAAGACCUCGCCACUCAUUUCUCUCAGCAGUCUAGCUUUCUGUAUUUCUCAGACUGUGUGGCGGACUAUCGCUGCCUCACAGAUCCCAAAUUUAAAUGCUGUAGAUGCCACCACCCACAGAGACCAACUUAAUUCUCUUUUGGCCUCAGGAUUAUCUCACUUUGCCAAACAUCUUGGAUUUCUGUCGCCCAAGAGGACUGAUGAUACAGAAAUUGAUAGCAGAAAUGAAGUGUUGCUAGUGACAGACUUAAAAGUCUUGGAACUGCUGGGGGGCGGUGGGGGCCUUCCUUACUUAGUCCAGGAGUUGUUGGAUCAUGGGAGACAAUCUCCAGACCUGAUGCAGGUUGUACCCAGAGAUUCCGGACUGGGAGCUGGAUGCAGAAGUUCCAUGUGACUGGAUCAUCACCCACUAGUGAGUUUGAGGUGGUAUGUGGAUUAUGCUCAUGGGGGCAUUUGGGAUUGUCUAUAUGAGAAGACAGGCACGUAUGCUGAGCAGCUAAGAGAUGGGCUGGAUAAACAUGAUUGUUUCUUUUUCACCAACAUUCCUCACUUGAGAAGAUUGAUGGGCCACACCUUGAAGAAGUGGCAUAUAUCACUUCUGCCUAAAUUCCGUCAGCUAGACCUCAGUCAUAUAGCCAAAGCCACCUGCCAGGGAGGUCGGGACAUGUACUCCAGAUGUCUUCCAGGAAGAAGAGGAAAGAAGUUGAUGAGCAUCUGACCACUCUCUGCCUCUAAGGCCUUCUACUUCUACAAAAUGGCCUCAAAACCAUUUAAAUUCUAAAAAGUUGCUCCGUUCUCCCCUCUUCUCUGCAUCCUUUCCAUUCUUCUGGGCGGCAGAGUAUCCCAGGAUAGUGUCAGCAGAGCCCAGGCGUGUGAGGUACGUGAAUUAGCUGUACGUGGCGGGUAGGGUAGUGCUUUGUUGCCGAAGGAGGGGAAAACGGUAGGUGCCUGGGGGAGAGAAAAAACAAAAAUAAAGAAAUAAAGAACUACAUUGUGUUUAUUCCCCAACUACAUGAAGGAAUCUCUCCUCUCAGCCUAUCAAAGAAUCGAACUUCUAAGCUCAGAAAUUGAGAAGAAGCUUUCUUUUCUAAACUUGAGGCACCAAGCACCUACUUUACUGCAGUCUCAAAAUGAUGGUGGGAGGAAGAGAUAAAAAGUUCAGAGGAAAUAUUCUACUCACAGUUCAGAGCGCCUAACCUCAGCUGAGGCCUGCUUGAGAGUCCCUGUCAGCUGUCUUGGAGCCAACAUCUGUAGGCUGCGUAUCUGUGAGUCAAAAACGGUAUAAAAAUUAGAUGAAUAGAGGUCAAGGUCAAGAGUUCAGAAUUUAUCAUUCAGUCAACACUAGAACCAGAUCAAAAAAAAGACAAUAAUGUAAAUAUGUCAAUUUCAACCAUAACCUUAGCACCUCAACACAGUAUUUUUUUUCCUGUGUUUCUUUUUAGUCUUUAUACCCACAUAUAAAUACAUUCUUUUUUUAAUAUAUUCAUCGUUUUAAGAAAAUACAUGAUAACUACUGCCGCAGUCAAACGGAGCUUAAGGUGACACGACAGCUGAAUGUAAUGUGGUAUUCUGGAUGGGAUUUUGGAACAGAAAAGGACAUCAGGCAAAAACCUAAGGAAAUCUGAAUAAAGUAUAGACUCUGGUUAAUAAUAAUUGAUUCAUUAAUUGUAACAAAUGUACCAUACUGAUGUAAGAUAUCAAUAAUAUAGGAAACCGGGUGUGGGGUAUGUGGGGACUCUCUCUACUGUCUUCUCAAUUCUUCUGUAAAUCUAAAACUGUUCUAAAAAAUAAAGUCUAUUUUUAAAAAGACAACAUUAUUAUUCUAUCCAGUGACUGUUUUUCUAGUGUUAGACAUUCAUUCUAUUUCUGAUUUUCCACUAUUAAAAAUAAUGUUCUAUAAACAUCCUGUGCAAUGACCUUUUAAAUGAAUUCAGAAGCAGAGUCAGCUCCAGAUAGAACUGAAAGGUGGGUAAACUCUAACGAUGACUCCUUCCCCUUUCCCAAACAUUCAACAACAGCUUUCCUCUAUUUUUCAGCCUCUUAGACCCCCCAUCUCCCUACAGCUUACAGUACUUACUGCUACCUGCAUAAUGAGUGUUCUUCUAGUCUCUAGAACGAAUCCUGACCUGAGCAAAAGAUAUUUAAAGAGUUCUAACCCAAUACUCAUCGAUCCAGCAAACAUGGAUCAAGCACCCACAAUGUGACAAGUAACGGCAGUAAACAACAGGAGCUCUCUGUGGCAAAUAUCCACUUUAUUUAGAGUAAGAAUAUUUCAUAAAGUUCUGUUUGUGGCCAUCUAAACUUGUGGGUUAGCAUUUAAAAAGGCGAAGCCAGUUUCAUCCUACAUAUAGGAAUGUUUUCUUUCUCUUUCUUGAUAUAGAGACAAGGCCCAGGAUCUAAAUAAUGAGUAUGUUUUGGCUCAGAAUGUAUCAAGGGGGAAAAGCCAUUUUGUAUUGAUCAAUAUGAUACAGUCAGAAGUAUAUUCUAAGUUAUUAAACAUGUGCCCCUAAGCAAAAUUAAAUCAUUGAGACAAAUGAGUAUCAGACCAUAACUAAAUCUUAAGAGAAAUAAGCCAAUGAAUGAUAAGUUCACCUCUUCUGAUGGGAAAGCUUUGGGAAAGAGAGCCCAGUGAGAGGUAGAUUCAACUGAAAUGCUCAGGCGCGGUGGGGGUGGGAUGGAAGAGUGGCAUGGAGUGGAAUAGAGAGGGUUCAGUAAAACAUCUGGGCAUGGAUAACAUUCUUGGGCCAAUGUGAUUUAUGUUGCAUCCAUCCCAUUAGGAAGAUCCUUUCAUCUUAACCAUUUUCUAUGGGUUUCCCUAGGACAGGGAAAGUGGAGACCUGCAGAGCUGAGCUGCAGCCCAGAGCAGCCGCUACCAGCAUGUCCAUGAAGAAGAGCUAAGAUUCUGGGGAAAAAACUGAUUCCAUCUCUUGAAGUGAGAAACAUUCCAAAGUGAGCUGGAGCAUCCUGUCUUCAGUUAAGAAGAAAAAGUGUUUUCCCCAGAAGCCUGUAGAACGGCCUCCAACCCUACUCCAGAGGUAGGUGACCACAGCAACUGCACUGAUCCCUCACUUUCUGUCUCCUCCUAAACCCCACUCCAAUAUCCCCAGUCACCUCAUUACAAACUAAAUGAAGCUGGAGUCCUCUGUCCCCCAACCCAAGAGCCAGAUGCUCAGGGCCAAGGUAGGGUACCUGGAACCUGACAUAAAUCCGUACUUUCUGCGAAGACCCAAAGGAAGACAUCCUGAGUGGAAGAACUUUUAAAAUGUCAGCAAUGUGACCCAGAGGUUUUUGAAUUGGUUAUUGAAAACCUAGAAUUCCCUCUGAGUCCUGCCUGAUUCUUGUGGAUGUUCUCAUGCUCCCCCACUACUUCCCACUCAGCCAGACAUCGAUCAUUUAACCUCUGGGUACUCCCUACCAAAUGCUGAUGGUGAUUCAGCUCUGCCUUGCACCCCUCCUGGAUAUUAUUUGUUCCCUCAAUUAUUCUCUCAACAUUAUUGAGAGAAUCAGUGGGUACUCUGCAAUCAUGUAGUGCUAAGUAAACCAAAGGGCCCUGGGAAGUGUCUGCAGCAAUACCAUUGGAGCUCAGCACGAGCAGAUGCCCUCUGUCUUGUGACCCGCCUGGUCGUGGGAACUCAGGGACCGCUCCUCCUGCUGUGACCAACCCUGAGCUGGGAGGCAGAAGUAUUCUAAGAAUACAGGGAGGGUGAAGCUACUAUAGCGAAUGGAGUGGAUGACAACACAGGGUGUCCUGGGCAUCUCUCAAAAUAAGAAGGUCAAAAUGCUUUGGCUAUUGAAUACUUUAAAAAUACUCGUUCCUUCAUUCAACAGCUAUUUGCUGAGUGCCUUACUAAGGGAUGAGGAAAUGAGAAACUCCACUUCUGCCCUCGAGA